ensembl:lncRNA LINC01709 long intergenic non-protein coding RNA 1709
GAGAAGACACAGUGUUCCAUCCAGAGGAUGUAGCAUCAAGGCGUCAUCUUAAAAGCAGAGAAAAGACUCUUACUUGACACCAGAUGCCAGUGCAUUGAUCUUGGACUUCCCAGCCUCUAGAACUGUAAACAGCCCUGGGACAAAGAACAGACUACGGGUAUUGCCUUCUUAAUCAACAAUAAAGUAUUAGUUGGCUUCCAGGCAGACACCACUGACUUUCAAGAGAAAGGCACGGGAGUAAGGAAGUAAAGAAUUCAGGGCAAACGUCGAGCUUUCCUCUGGGCUCCAAUGUAAAAGAAGUGGAUAGCGGCUGACUAGUGUACAUAUUAUGUAUGCAGACUUUGAAGGAAUCCCCCUUGUUUUUAGCUGUUCUUCCAUUGCUCCUGGAGACUCUGAGCUCAGAGAUUUUCUAGGCUCUGAUGGGCAGAGUGGCUCGUUUCCUCCCUGAAGUUUCCUUCAUGCCACAUUCUGGAUUACAACCUCCUCCAAAGAGUGUCAUCUGUCAAUAUAAUGUCAUCUCUUGAUUUCUCUGUUUUCUUUUCUUCACUAUAAUAGGUGACAUCUGAUUGUAUAAAGGAUAUUUAUUUAUUUGAGAUUUUGUCUCAGAAGCGAGUCCAGAAAGAAAGGAGCUCUGCCUGGGGUUUCCUUUUCUGCCUGUGUGGGUGAUGGUGCUGCUUGAAAAUACAACAAACUGUCUUCAGAAUACUUUUAUGUGUUGUUGAAAGAAAGCACUGCAGCUAAUAUAGCUACAAAGGAGAAACAGUUAUUCUUAAAUGUCAUCUAUUUGCUGGACCUGAACAGGAAUUCACUAUGGAGCUCAUACAACUACCACCUUCAGCUAUUAAUCAAGGAGUCAUUCAACUGAGAAAGGGGAGAUUGAGAUGUUGAAUCAUUUCUCAUUCUGUGAAGUCUACCAGAAUAACCCAUAAAGCAAAUAUCAACCUAUUUCAAGCCAAAAUAAAUGGAUGUGAAGCAGAUUGGACUCAAAGCAUUGAAAUCAAGACUUUGGCAUUAACUAACUCUGUGUGUUUAGACAAAAUGGAAUCAUCUUGAAGAACACAGAUUAUCAGGCCUUACCCUAGAGUUUCUUACUCAGUACCUCUGGUGUGAGAGCACAAAAACUGGCCUUUAUAACAAGUCCUCAUGUGAUGCUGAUGCUGUUAGACUGGAAGCCACGCUCGUGAACCAUGGGUUUAGAUAUCACUGGGACCCUCAUGGAGCCCAUUUUCUCAGGCGUAGAAUGUGACUGAAGACCACUUACCACCAAAGAA